rnacentral:rRNA from 1 species
CCCUUAGAUGUUCUGGGCCGCACGCGCGCUACACUGAUGCAUUCAACGAGCCUAGCCUUGACCGAGAGGUCCGGGUAAUCUUUGAAACUGCAUCGUGUUGGGGCUAGAUUAUUGCAAUUAUUAAUCUUCAACGAGGAAUGCCUAGUAAGCGUGAUUCAUCAAAUCGCGUUGAUUACGUCCCUGCCCUUUGUACACACCGCCCGUCGCUCCUACCGAUUGAGUGUGUUGGUGAGGAGUUUGGAUUGGCCUCGGAAGGUGGUUCGCCACCGUCCGUAGCUGAGAAGUUCUCCAAACCGCCCCACUUAGAGGAAGGAGAAGUCGUAACA